ensembl:lncRNA
AUGUAAUGAUUUCGAAUAGAUUUUCUAAAUGAAUGGCUAGCAGAGAAAUUCACAGUGCUGGAAGUCAGGUGGAACAUUUCUGUUACUAUCACUUGUGGAGUUGGUACUGGAGUAACCAAAUCACACAGGUGAGCUGGACCAGGAAAUCUCUGUUCUCUCACCAGAUGACUCGUGGGGAGCUGUUGCUUGCAAUUCCUUGUAAAUGCUGGUCUCGCUGGAUCAGGGUGUGAUCCAGUGAGCCACCUGUCCUUAGGCGUUGCAGGUGUUAAGUUCGUCUUUGUCCAUCUCUGUGUUUAGCCACCCAUCACCAAAGCAUAUCAUAUCCCACUGGUUCAUCCAAUCACAGAAUCAUAUCAUCAUUAAGGUUGGAAAGACCACUAAGAUCAUCCAGUCCAACCAUCAACCCAUCCCACCAUGCCCACUGCCCACAUCUCUCAGUGCCACAUCUCCACUGUUCUCAGCCACCUCCAGGGACAGUGACUCCUCCACCCCUCUUAAAGCCUUUCCCUCUUGUCCUAUCACAUUUAGAAGGGGAGACUUAUCGGGUGAGAUGUGCGGGGAGGAAUGCAAUGAUGUAGGCAGCUGGGAGAGUGUCCCCACGCCUGUGCUGCUGGAGCCAAGGCAGGGGAUGAGUUUGGCGUGGCCAAAUUUGAAUGGCGCGCAUUUUUGUUGGGACUUGUUGAGAGGCAGUUCGAGCUUAACUGGAAUCUCACCUCGGUUUCCUUGUGCUGGCUGCCAAAAUUUGCCACUGUAAACAAGUUGUACAACCCUAGGACAAUUUCAGUAGAUAAAGUGGGACUCCUGCUCUCUUUUACAUCAUGAGAUGUUGUGAAUGAGAGCGGAACUGCGCAGAGCAGACUCAGGACACUUCCCUGGGGUGAUAGUAACUAUUCAAGAAGAACAGCUCUGUAAAGGACUACAAGGUUGAAGUUCAGGUAUUGCCUCACCUGCGCGACUUCCUUCCAAGUCAAGGGCUGUGCAAGAGUAACCAGAUUUUGGUAUUUAGCUAUGGUUACUCAUUAAAGGCGGGGAGGAGGAUGAGGAAGAAACGAUCACAGAAUGAAACCUGCUUUUGCAAGUGUCACUGGAACGAGUUGCCAGCAGAACUGAUGUCUCACAGAGCAGUGCUAGGAUGAGCUUGAAAGUGAGGAUGGAGAGAAGAUGCUUCCUUUUGCAGUAAUUCUCCACCAGUGGAUAAAGCACAUCUGGCAUGCUCUCUGGGAGGAAGAAUCCUCAUGCCACAAAUAAGAAAUGCCUAUAUCUGCAUAAGAUCAGGUUGGUGGGACCAGCAAAUAAGGAAUAGGCACACCUUACCCUACGUUCUAAAAUUCAUCUGUAUCUGGUAAUAUUUCUGAUGUUAUCUGCAUGAAGGAUUCUUCUUUGUUUGAUUUGAAUCUUUUCUUUUUGGCUACUGAAACCAUACUGUGGCAUGCAGGUUAAAUCUGCUGUUUAGUCUGGAGGUUGUGCUCUCCUGCCUCACAGAGUUACACUUGAAGGCUUUUCGUGUGGAGGUUCAAUUGAACUCUUCAGUUCAUCCCACCCCAGACUUGUUCCUUGGCUCUGAUAUCAGUAACAAAUAAUAACUAUCUAUUUUUGCAUACAUUAGAAGUCUGAUGCCUGUACUAAGGAAGUGGUUACGGCUCCUCUUCCACCUACUCUGGAAAGAUUCCUAGUAAUGAAUACUUUUCCAUGUAUGAAUGUCUUUAUUUUCUUUUUCUUGGCUUCUUCCCAGAUUCUUU